UGUGUGUGUGUGUGUGUGUGUGUGUCUGUAUCUAACACUCAAAUGAGAUCAAGCUUUCCUGUCCAGGGGCGUGUGCCAAGUUCCACUUGCUAAUAGCUCCUCUAGUCUGGUUGUAUUUUUUUCAAGGUAAAAAAGGUUUUUCUUCAUUGGGAAAAGGGAUACCUGGUUUUAAAUCACAUUAUGGGCAAACAGAGUUGAGUUUGAAUUGGGCAAAAGAGGUAUUUUGGUUUUGUCCCCUACCUCAUUUCUUAGUUGUGAAUAUUGUGGAUAUGGAACUCACUCGUACUCGUGAUUGGUAAUCUCAAUAGGUGAAUUCAUAGUUUACUCACUCUCUCAGCCACAGUCUUUGCCCUUUUUAACAUGCUCUACUAAAUGUAAUAUAAAAGAACAAAGUGUCAGACAUGAUCAUACCCCCCUCCCCCUUCCCGUGAAGUUAAUGUGUAAGGCCCCUUGAGAAUUCAGUCAUUAAAUUCAUAUUGGUUGACACUAACAUAGCCUGGUUAGUCUGUAUACCAGAAUAUAAUCUGUGAUAAUGUUACUCAACACAGUGAUAAAUAGCUCUUUUCAGUUGAGCAGCUUGAAGCAUUGUGCAUGACUAUCUUCUUUACAACCUAAUGUAAAUAGUGAUACAUUUAUCUCCUUCAUCAAAGCAAUAGUAGAUUAUGAAUUUAUUUGGAGAAAUGUUGAAUCUCAUUUACUGAUUAUAUAGAUUUGUUAUUAAUGAGUGUCGAUCAUUCUGAAUUAUUACUGAGUGGGGAGAGAAACAUCUAUAAUUGAUCAAUAGUGACAAUUUCUUGUUCAGACAUCCUACUAAUAGCUUAGGAAAUGUCAUUGAACGAUAUUCCAUGUCGGAACAGGACAGAUUUCCAGAAAUAUAGUUGAUAUAGUACUAUCACAAUGUAGAUUUAUUUUCAAAAGUGAAUUAAUACAAAACUCAGUUCCCUCAUCAACACCCUCGUAUUUGACUGGUUUCAUAUGUGUGUUUCUGAGUAAUCUGGUCAUGUGUGACCCACAUCUCCCUGCCUCCACAACAUGUUUGCCUCUGUGUAAUGUUUCUGUCAGCCACUUUCCCAAAUGAAUCAGUGGCUGAAGAAGAGACUGCCUGACAGCACAGCGAAAGAAAGGGCUUCUCUGAGGCCCUCUGUUUCCUCUAAGGACACUACAUUUCUGUUAAAGGACAGACAGAAAAGGAACACUAUGAAUAAGAUGGGACCCAUGGAAUCAUGGACAUACUCUUCUCGUUCCCUUUUGUUUGUUUUUAAAUGACUGUGUUGAUAGGGAAACACAAUGGUCACUGUGCUUCCAGUUUGCUAUUUAUCCUUGGUUGUUGUAUCCCAUAGUUUUCAGAGAAUCACUUUUCUGGGGGGGGGGUAUUCCAAGUAUGUGGUCUAGCCCCAUGGCUUCAUUCUCCUAGCAAAACAAAGCCAUGAGGCUCUUCUGUUAGGAGGUUUACCACCUACUCUGAGUUAACUUACCCAGCUUUAUCACUAAACCAUGUAUCUGGAACUCCCUUAUAAUACUUCCUUAAAACCAAGAGAAGUGUUGGAAUUGUCCAGUGGUUUGGUUGUAUGCUCCACAGGUGUAUGGUCAAUUGGAAAUAACAAACCAAUAACAGUUUAUUGUAACUUUCAUUCCAUAUUGUUUUUUUUUGUUUUUGUUUUUUAUUGUGUGCGUGUGUGAUGAUCUUGACAUCUCAUGUUGACACCAGGUUAUACCAUUUUUGCCUUUUCGAUGGACACCCAGUUUUAUCCUGUAUUGUUAGAGUUCAAGUCAAAAGAUAUUGCACCUUACCUCUUAACCCUGUUCAGUACUUAUGAAAUUCAUUAUUGAUUUUAAAAAUCAACCCCAUCCUAUAAGGCUUUGUAAAGUUUUUGUAAUAUGCCCCUUUAUAAAAUAUUUCGUGAGACUAUGUCCUAUGAUACCAUAUGGUCUAUGUCCAUAUUCACGCUUUAUUUUCAGAGGCAUGUAAAGUUUUAACAUACUCAGUCAAUAAAAGCAUAACAUCAUAAUUAAUGGUUUCCUUAGUUAUUUCGCUUUUUCCUAGUUGAAGUAGUUUUGAGUCUACAAUGAAUAUGGAUACCGCCAUUUAGGCCUACUUAAACCAUAUGGAAUUGGUAGCCUUAAUUUAUAUUAUUUAUAUAAUUUCGGAUAUAUCAUUCAGUCAAUAAUAGAAUAUGAAUAUAUUAUUAAAAUACACCAGUUUCG
ensembl:lncRNA